rnacentral:rRNA from 1 species
GAUGAACGCUGGCGGCGUGCCUAAUACAUGCAAGUCGAGCGAACAGACGAGGAGCUUGCUCCUCUGACGUUAGCGGCGGACGGGUGAGUAACACGUGGAUAACCUACCUAUAAGACUGGGAUAACUUCGGGAAACCGUAGCUAAUACCGGAUAAUAUAUUGAACCGCAUGGUUCAAUAGUGAAAGACGGUUUUGCUGUCACUUAUAGAUGGAUCCGCGCCGCAUUAGCUAGUUGGUAAGGUAACGGCUUACCAAGGCAACGAUGCGUAGCCGACCUGAGAGGGUGAUCAGCCACACUGGAACUGAGACACGGUCCAGACUCCUACGGGAGGCAGCAGUAGGGAAUCUUCCGCAAUGGGCGAAAGCCUGACCGAGCAACGCCGCGUGAGUGAUGAAGGUCUUCGGAUCGUAAAACUCUGUUAUUAGGGAAGAACAAAUGUGUAAGUAACUAUGCACGUCUUGACGGUACCUAAUCAGAAAGCAACGGCUAACUACGUG